UUUUCCACGGGACUUACGUCAAUCUCUCACAGAAGAACGCGAUGCUGUCAAGUGCUUUGCAAACAGAACACGCGUCAGGAAAAUGCACACUUACAAGGUCCGCAGGGGGCCCGGCGGCCGCAUUUGUCAUCCCUCCAGCGAGGAGGCCCGAGUUCCUCCCAGGGCUGUAACCCUCCCAUCUCCCCCGCGGGCCGGGCUGGACACCACUGCCCAGGGGCCAUCAGAGCCGCACGACCUAACAACUUCACCAGGUCUUUACACGACUGUGCCUGUGCCUCAGAGGAAGUGAUCCCCGCUGCUCGGAGGAAGCGAACAACUAUAAAUCAGAGCCGUGGACACAGACAGGAAGCCACCACACAGCGGGAAACGCUUCCUGGCUGUGCUGAAACUGCUCUCCGGCCCCUCCCUGACCUCCCCGAGUUCCUCCUCCUCCAGCGGGAAUGUUUGCCUGGCCGGCAGCUGCGUCCUGGCCGACACCAUGGACACAAACAUGGCGGUGACAUCUCAACAACAGUAUCAGCCGCAGGACCACCCAUACGCCAGAGACUGGACGAAAACAUGCCCUGUUGUCUUACUUGAUCUUCACAACGACUCCUUUACAAGUGAGAAAGCUGCGUUUAUUGAGGUUGAGUAAUGAGUGGGUCUAUCUUAAUCUGCAUACAUUUGCGGGGAAGGAGGGAGGAGAGGCCCCGGGACCUGCGGCCUGGGCUGCUGGACUGAGAAGCUGGCUGGGGCGUUGUAUCACCACGGGGCCAUGUGUACGAAUCUCUCUGACCAGGAGUGACAACCCACUCGAGAAUAACACGAGUUCACAUGGACAGGGGUCACAGGCAUCUUGCUUGUGGGAAGGAAGAGGUGGGACGCUCUCAGUCAGGAACGUGGCCCUCAGCUGCGCCUGCCUUGCACUCACCCUCACCGCUGUUAGCCUGGCCGGCGGUGGUAAGGGUUUGAGAUGCCGGGCACCGUGCAGGCCCGGGGCCCCUGUGGAUGACGUGGUGGCUCCCUGGGGAGCUGGGACCUUUCCUACAGUUUGCCUGGAAGUGUCAGCAGCAGAUUGGGCCUCACCGGGCGGCUCCCCAACCCAUGGGUGGUGGGGGCCCAGCAGUGAGAUGGGGAUGCUUGCUGGCCAAAUGGGCUGUGAGGC